rnacentral:rRNA from 1 species
GAUGAACGCUAGCGGCAGGCUUAAUACAUGCAAGUCGUGGGGCAGCAGGUUUGUAGCAAUACAGAUGCUGGCGACCGGCAAACGGGUGCGUAACACGUACGCAACUUACCCAUUACUGGUGAAUAGCCCAGGGAAACUUGGAUUAAUACACCAUAACAUAUAGAAAAGGCAUCUUUUUUAUAUUAAAGCUUCGGCGGUAAUGGAUGGGCGUGCGGUUGAUUAGAUAGUUGGCGGGGUAACGGCCCACCAAGUCUACGAUCAAUAGCUGAUGUGGGAGCAUGAUCAGCCAGACGGGCACUGAGAACCGGGCCCGACUCCUACGGGAGGCAGCAGUAAGGAAUAUUGGGCAAUGGACGAAAGUCUGACCCAGCCAUGCCGCGUGAAGGAUGAAGGUCCUCUGGAUUGUAAACUUCUUUUAUCUGGGGCGAAAACCUCCCUUUCUAGGGGGCUUGACAGUACCAGAAGAAUAAGCACCGGCUAACUCCGUGCCAGCCGCCGCGGUAA